CGCACGACUCUCGGCAACGGAUAUCUCGGUUCUCGCAUCGAUGAAGAACGUAGCGAAAUGCGAUACCUGGUGUGAAUUGCAGAAUCCCGCGAACCAUCGAGUCUUUGAAUGCAAGUUGCGCCCGAGGCCACACGGUCGAGGGCACGCCUGCCUGGGCGUCACGC
rnacentral:rRNA from 1 species